CUUGGUGGCCAUACCGGCUUGUCAAAGUCUGAUCCGGUCAGACAUUAGAAGCUUAGCUAGGCUGGGCCUGGUUAGUACUUGGAUGGGAGGCCCCUGGGAAUACCAGCUGCCACAGUGG
rnacentral:rRNA from 1 species